CCUGUGACGUCAGUCCACUGAACCUUAUCAUUUAGACAAGGUUUCCGUAGGUGAACCUGCGGAAGGAUCAUUGCCGAGAACCGACCGAGAGACCGCGAACCUGUAAACGGAUGACACCGUGUCGGGCGGGCACUAUGCCCGUCCUGCUCGGGACCUCGCACCGUGUCCGGGACCGCCUUCGAGCGCUCCGGACACGAUUUGCGGGGGACGGACGAAACCCCGGCGCGGCCUGCGCCAAGGAACAUAUGACAGGACGGACGCACGUCAACGCCUCUGCGGCGGGGCGACGUUCGCNCUCUAUCCAUACGACUCUCGGCAACGGUUGGAGCCGUAUGCAUCGAUGAAGAACGCCGUGAACCAUCGAGUCUUUGAACGCAAGUUGCGCCCGAGGCCUUUCGGCCGAGGGCACGCCUGCCUGGGCGUCACGCCUUGUUUCGCUCCGUGCCCAUGCCCCUUCGGGGGCGGUCACGGAUGCGGAGAAUGGCCCUCCGUGCCUCGUGUGCGGCGGGCUUAAGCGCGGGCUGUCGGCGCCGGGAUGGGCACGACGAGUGGUGGACGGAGCACCAGCAGGAUGUCGUGGCCCCCUGUUUGCGCCUGAGACCCGGAACAGGCGAGCCGUGCUCCUUUACGAGGAGGGACCCGGAACAGGCGAGCGUUGCGUGGCAAUGCGACCCCAGGUCAGGCGGGGACAC
rnacentral:rRNA from 1 species